rnacentral:rRNA from 1 species
AGCAGCCGCGGUAAUUCCAGCUCCAAUAGCGUAUAUUAAAGUUGUUGCAGUUAAAAAAGCUCGUAGUUGAAUUUCGGGAUUAGUACGUUGGUCGUGCCUUAGGUACGUACUGGUGUUACUGGUUCCUACCUUCUGACGAACCAUCAUGUCAUUAAUUUGGUGUGGCGGGGAAUCAGGACUGUUACUUUGAAAAAAUUAGAGUGUUUAAAGCAGGCUCGCGCUUGAAUACAUUAGCAUGGAAUAAUGAAAUAGGACGUUGACCCUAUUUUGUUGGUUUCUAGGAUUGACGUAAUGACUAAUAGGGAUAGUUGGGGGCAUUAGUAUUCAAUUGUCAGAGGUGAAAUUCUUGGAUUUAUUGAAGACUAACUACUGCGAAAGCAUUUGCCAAGGAUGUUUUCAUUAAUCAAGAACGAAAGUUAGGGAUCGAAGACGAUCAGAUACCGUCGUAGUCUUAACCAUAAACUAUGCCGACUAGGGAUCGGGAUGAUGUUAUUUUAAUGACUCAUUCGGCGCCUUACGG